rnacentral:rRNA from 1 species
UAGGGAAUCUUCCGCAAUGGACGCAAGUCUGACGGAGCAACGCCGCGUGAGUGAAGAAGGAUUUCGGUUCGUAAAACUCUGUUGUUAGAGAAGAACAGCGCAUAGAGUAACUGUUAUGCGUGUGACGUUAUCUAACCAGAAAGCCACGGCUAACUACGUGCCAGCAGCCGCGGUAAUACGUAGGUGGCGAGCGUUGUCCGGAUUUAUUGGGCGUAAAGCGAGCGCAGGCGGUCAAUUAAGUCUGAUGUGAAAGCCCCCGACUCAACCGGGGAGGGUCAUUGGAGACUGGUUGACUUGAGUGCAGAAGAGGAGAGUGGAAUUCCAUGUGUAGCGGUGACAUGCGUAGAUAUAUGGAGGAACACCAGUGGCGAAGGCGACUCUCUGGUCUGUAACUGACGCUGAGGAUCGAAAGCGUGGGUAGCAAGCAGA